rnacentral:rRNA from 1 species
GUCAAAGCGUUCAUUAAAGUCGAGUUGGCUUAGGGAUACGUUCGUUGGGUAGGGGAGCGUUCUGUAAGCCUGUGAAGGUGUGUCGUGAGGCAUGCUGGAGGUAUCAGAAGUGCGAAUGCUGACAUAAGUAACGAUAAAGCGGGUGAAAAGCCCGCUCGCCGGAAGACCAAGGGUUCCUGUCCAACGUUAAUCGGGGCAGGGUGAGUCGACCCCUAAGGCGAGGCCGAAAGGCGUAGUCGAUGGGAAACGGGUUAAUAUUCCCGUACUUGGUGUUACUGCGAAGGGGGGACGGAGAAGGCUAUGUUGGCCGGGCGACGGUUGUCCCGGUUUAAGCGUGUAGGUGUGUGUUCCAGGUAAAUCCGGUUCACUUUAACACUGAGGCGUGAUGACGAGGCACUACGGUGCUGAAGCAACAAAUGCCCUGCUUCCAGGAAAAGCCUCUAAGCAUCAGGUAACAUCAAAUCGUACCCCAAACCGACACAGGUGGUCAGGUAGAGAAUACCAAGGCGCUUGAGAGAACUCGGGUGAAGGAACUAGGCAAAAUGGUGCCGUAACUUCGGGAGAAGGCACGCUGACACGUAGGUGAAGUGAUUUACUCACGGAGCUGAAGUCAGUCGAAGAUACCAGCUGGCUGCAACUGUUUAUUAAAAACACAGCACUGUGCAAACACGAAAGUGGACGUAUACGGUGUGACGCCUGCCCGGUGCCGGAAGGUUAAUUGAUGGGGUCAGCGCAAGCGAAGCUC